UACGUAGGCAGCAAGCGUUGUUCGGAGUUACUGGGCGUAAAGGGUGUGUAGGCGGUUUGUCGCGUCUGCCGUGAAAGCCCAGGGCUUAACCCUGGGUCUGCGGUGGGUACGGGCAGACUAGAGUGUGGUAGGGGAGACUGGAAUUCCUGGUGUAGCGGUGAAAUGCGCAGAUAUCAGGAGGAACACCGAUGGCGAAGGCAGGUCUCUGGGCCACUACUGACGCUGAGAAGCGAAAGCAUGGGGAGCAAACAGG
rnacentral:rRNA from 1 species